rnacentral:rRNA from 1 species
GCGUGCUUAACACAUGCAAGUCGAACGAAGCACUCUAUUUGAUUUUCUUCGGAAAUGAAGAUUUUGUGACUGAGUGGCGGACGGGUGAGUAACGCGUGGGUAACCUGCCUCAUACAGGGGGAUAACAGUUGGAAACGACUGCUAAUACCGCAUAAGCGCACAGGAUCGCAUGAUCCGGUGUGAAAAACUCCGGUGGUAUGAGAUGGACCCGCGUCUGAUUAGCCAGUUGGCAGGGUAACGGCCUACCAAAGCGACGAUCAGUAGCCGACCUGAGAGGGUGACCGGCCACAUUGGGACUGAGACACGGCCCAAACUCCUACGGGAGGCAGCAGUGGGGAAUAUUGCACAAUGGGGGAAACCCUGAUGCAGCGACGCCGCGUGAGCGAAGAAGUAUUUCGGUAUGUAAAGCUCUAUCAGCAGGGAAGAAGAAUGACGGUACCUGACUAAGAAGCACCGGCUAAAUACGUGCCAGCAGCCGCGGUAAUACGUAUGGUGCAAGCGUUAUCCGGAUUUACUGGGUGUAAAGGGAGCGCAGGCGGUGCGGCAAGUCUGAUGUGAAAGCCCGGGGCUCAACCCCGGUACUGCAUUGGAAACUGUCGUACUAGAGUGUCGGAGGGGUAAGUGGAAUUCCUAGUGUAGCGGUGAAAUGCGUAGAUAUUAGGAGGAACACCAGUGGCGAAGGCGGCUUACUGGACG